rnacentral:rRNA from 1 species
GACGAACGCUGGCGGCGUGCUUAACACAUGCAAGUCGAACGGAAAGGCCCUGCCUUUGUGGGGUGCUUGAGUGGCGAACGGGUGAGUAACACGUGAGUAACCUGCCCCUGACUUUGGGAUAACCUCAGGAAACUGGGGCUAAUACCGGAUAGGAGCUCCUGCUGCAUGGUGGGGGUUGGAAAGUUUCGGCGGUUGGGGAUGGACUCGCGGCCUAUCAGCUUGUUGGUGGGGUAGUGGCUUACCAAGGCUUUGACGGGUAGCCGGCCUGAGAGGGUGACCGGCCACAUUGGGACUGAGAUACGGCCCAGACUCCUACGGGAGGCAGCAGUGGGGAAUAUUGCACAAUGGGCGGAAGCCUGAUGCAGCAACGCCGCGUGCGGGAUGACGGCCUUCGGGUUGUAAACCUCUUUCGCCUGUGACGAAGCGAGAGUGACGGUAAUGGGUGAAGAAGCGCCGGCUAACUACGUG